CAUCUCUUUACAAACUUUUUACGGUAAUAUUUGCUGUUGUGAGACUAAGGAAUCGCUGUAGGAUUGUUUUAGAAUCGCUGUAGCUCUACAAAACACGCGCGCUGCCAUGAUCUGUAGGAAUGAGAGUACCAAACCCCUGGAUGUUUACACCGGAUAUAGUUUACCCAAGAAAAAGCAGAGGUAAAAAUGAGUGGGUAUUGCCUGAUUGGUGGAAAUGAGGGUUUUGUCCACUGAACCACUGGUGGGGAUGGCAGCACCUACCCCUGCACAGAGACCCCGAAUAGACCUGCCCGGACCAUUAUUAGAAGAGUGGACAGCACUGUGCACCUGACCGGAGAAGUUCCUCGUAAAUGUUACAUUGCGAGGCAGAGAUCGUCGCAGGGUUCGAUUAAAGCUCUCGACCUUCUGAGAGUUGCUGUUUUUGAUCGUCUUGGCCAGGACAGCUGGAGACAAUCUUUUUGAGAUACAAGCAUGGAGCAAGUUCUCAUUCUCGGCCGAACAGGAAGCCCAUCCUGAUAGAGGGAAUGCGCCGCUCGGGUCAGUGGUUACCUCCUGUACCUCGAGGCCAGUCUCACUGAGGAGUUCUGCCAUUCCCUCCUUAGCCCAGGUGAACUCAUCCCCUAUGGUGUGAUGCAUUGGAAGGUUUGCCCCACAUACCCCAGGACUACAACAGUGGUCAACAGUGCCCUCAUCAAGGACUUGCGUGAAGGGGGAGGGGUGUUGGUUGAAAGUAGAAUUUUCCUCAACCCAUCAUUUCCUAAAGGGGUUUGACUUAGGCCAACUUGUAAACCGUAGUUUACAGUGGCAGCCUUUCUCCCUGGGGAUUUGGUCUCUACCUCCUCAUACAAAUUGUACAGGUCAGACAGGAACGGACACUCGGAGUAUGUCAUCCUCAUCCGGGUGGCAAGGCCACGCCUCUCCUCAGUGUCUAGAUCCCAAGUCAGGAUACCCCGACAGUCUGGACUUCCUUGCUGGUGGAGGCGGAACACCUCGUUAAACAUGGCCACUGUCUUGCCGAGAUGUAGCAGCCUGUGCGAGUCCUGGUUUACCCUAAGAAGAGUCAGAGAAGUAUUCAUUUCUCUCAUAAAAGGUUUGGAGUGCAAAUAGUGUACAGGCAGUUACUUCCCUUAGACUUUGAGAAUUAUCAUACAACACUAACAACUGAUGUAUUUUUUAAUUUUGUUGUUUAAAUCUUCCAGAUUGGUAGUUAGUCAGAUGCAUGACUUAUUAACUGCUUGUAUCAUGCCUUAGUUUACAUAUAUCUGCAUGUAUUUACAUUUAGCAGUAGAUUUCAUGAGAAACACUCUCUUGGGAGCUAUAUUUUUCAUAUUCUCUGACGUAACAUAUAACGAGGUGGUUCCUUUGCCAAAAAUGUCUUGAAAAUUUCAUCGAUGAUCAUUAAAUUAAUCAAAAUUUUACUUACAUGUAUAGCAUUUGAGCAUUCCGGCACUCAUUUCCACCUUCAUUUUUCAGCUUCCUGGGCGUAACAAAUGGUGGCACCAUGGCCGCGGGAGCAUUUCCUGUUUUUCUGAAGCUGAAGGAGGGUCCUUCACUAACUGAUCCAUUUCAGGAGGCAGUCUUUCAUAUGGAGCAGUCAAAAAUCAGAUCCAAAUAUCAUCAGAAUUGUCAGAGUCUUUCACUCCUGGUAAUGUCAAUGUCCAUAGAUGGUGCAGCUCAUUCACAUGGUGACAGAUCUCAUGACACAGAAAUUCCAGAACUCAAAUUUCCUACAUGUGCACAGGAUGUUGUCCACUAAGCUAAUGGUGGGGAUCGUAGCAGCUACCCUGCACACAGACAUUGAAUGGAGCUGUCUCGUCCAUUAUCAGAAGAGUGCGUCCGAUCAGAGAAGUUUCUUGAGGAGCAUCACGAGGGACUUGUGUGAAUGGGCAGAAGACAUUUUCUUAACUCACCACUCCAUCAUUGCCUGAUGUUUGAGACUGAACACUUUAUUGAAAAUUGAUGGGAUGUAGCAAUCAAUGGGUGUCAUCAUUUGCCCUGAGAAGACUAAGAGAACUCCCUGGUCCUCAUGAGAUGGUGACACCCUGUAGUAGGAGCAGUUCUUACCGGUAUCUCUUAAAAGAAGACAAAGGUUUUCUUAGCAUCUGAUCCAUUUCUGGAGACAAACUUUUGAAUGGAGCUGGGUAGCAGUUACUCGAGAUGUCUGGCUGAUUGACGAAGAUAAUUGCCCUGCGCCUGACAUUCUUGUAGGACUUGGAUAGCUCUAUCACUGUAAAAAAUGUCAGGACGGUGGAGAUUUAGAUAAGUGGUGUGACGUUAUUGAUGGUAAACAGAAGACUGUGACCUUGAAUCUGAAGACCUGUGAUGAAGACCGGACGUUUGGGGUCACUCUCUGUUACAGUACUACAAAUCUAACAGUGUGACGCUCAGCCACAAAGAGGUUGUCUCUGAUGUCCACACAUAAACCACAUGGACCGCGUAAACCACAGUGAAUGUAACGGAGGAACUGUCCGUCCUGAUCUAGGAUGUGGAUACGGCGAUUGUUACCGUCUGCUGUCAGGAUGUGACUCUGGCUGUCUGUAGUGAUGCCGUGUGGAGUAAAUGAUUGCUUGGUAUUAGAGCGAUGACCAGUGUAUCUAAAUCGGAGUUUUCCUGACUGAUUGACCACCACUACUGCACUAGCUCCACAGUCAGCCACACAGAUAUCCAGGUUCUUGUUCUCACUGAGGUAUUUACUGUCACCAUCAGAUGAGUAGAGAGGACGACCCUGAUCAUCAAACUGAAUGCUUUGUUUCUCUGUGGAGCCGGAGUAACGCACGACUUUGGAUUGUUUGACAUCAUCACUGUCCAUGAUAACCAGGAGGUCGUUACCCGCGGUACAGCAGACAGAGAGAGGUCUCCACCCCUGUAGUGUGAUCACGAAUGAGUUGAGUGGGAAAAUGAGCCUCCAGAUGUAUAUGUACAUGUGUAUAUUAUAAUUAAACUUCUGUUGCACUCGCGCAUGCGAGGUUACUCUA